UGUAGUCCUGCAGGCGUACAACUAACAAGCUGGGUGCAGAUAAGAGACUACAGCUCCCCGCAUCCCAAGCAAAGGUCCCUCCUCUACGGAGCCCCUCCACGCGUCCACUGCGGUUCCGCCGUGCCAAGGGGAGCUUGGCUGUUCACGGGCCUCACCUGCUAGCGAGAAGAUAGCUUGGCCGGGCGGCUGAUCUCACCUUGUAAUUCUGACACUGUGUCUCCCGGGCUUGUCGGCUUCAUGACUUGUGCCCAAAGUUUGAUUUCUCGCAGACCAGGAGGACCCAUUGGACCCCCGGGCUGGCUGCAGGGCCCACACCUGGGUUAGACCUCGCACAGGGACGCUGCUGCCACUGUAAUAAAGCGUGCCUACACGCUUCUGAAACUGGUGUAGGAACAACCUCAGUUCUGUGAAAGGCGGACGCAGCAGGACAGAAUCUCCGUGGACAUCUGUCUGGAGGAGCAAUUUUACUGCGACAUUUUAAAGAAACAAAUUUAAUUGAUUUCCAAGGGUGUCCAUCGCGCUUCCUUCACUGCCUUGAUCAUGUCGGGGUCACCACCUGCGGGGGUUUGUCCUGCAGACCCUGACUCAACGACGGAUGAAUAAUGUACACUGACACAGAUCUUAUGCUUGUCAGUCCUGCUGAGCAUCCAGGCCACUUACAGACUCCAAGAAGAGUCCUGUCAGCCACGGCUCUGACUUGUUGGCCCUCCCGGCAUUUAUUUAGCACACAUUUAAUGACAGAAGUCUCAGGUAUUCAAAUGGGAGAGACUCUUGACUGACACCAGGCAUUCUAAUGAGAGAGACUCCAGGAAGAUCCAGGCAGUCUAAUGAUAAAUAUACCUGGGCGA
rnacentral:lncRNA from 10 species